rnacentral:rRNA from 1 species
AGAGAUGGAUUGGUGCCUUCGGGAACGUUAGUAUACAGGUGCUGCAUGGCUGUCGUCAGCUCGUGUCGUGAGAUGUUGGGUUAAGUCCCGNAACGAGCGCAACCCUUUUCCUUAUUUGCCAGCGGGUCAUGCCGGGAACUUUAAGGAUACUGCCAGUGACAAACUGGAGGAAGGCGGGGACGACGUCAAGUCAUCAUGGCCCUUACGGCCAGGGCUACACACGUGCUACAAUGGUCGGUACAAAGGGUUGCUACCUCGCGAGAGGAUGCUAAUCUCAAAAAGCCGAUCGUAGUCCGGAUCGCAGUCUGCAACUCGACUGCGUGAAGUCGGAAUCGCUAGUAAUCGCGGAUCAGAAUGCCGCGGUCGAAUACGUUCCCGGGCCUUGUACACACCGCCCGUCACACCAUGGGAGUUUGUUGCACCAGAAGUAGGUAGUCUAACCGCAAGGAGGACGCUUACCACGGUGUGGCCGAUGACUGGGGUGAAGUCGUAACAAGGUAAGCGUAGAUGA